ACUUCCGGUUCCCUUCUAUUGAGGUCGGCUGGAAAUUGUGUGCUUGCCGUUGGUUUUCCGCAGCUUUUCCAGCAAGGAGUGAAUUUCGGGAGUUAUUCUCGAGAGAGCCGCAUGAAUUCCUCCUUCGUAACGAAAUAGCGGGCGUGGGAAGGUCGGAGGGGACCCGGGAAAAGCGGAGAAGCGGCCGAGUGCUGGCCGGCCCAGGAACUGUCCUGCUUGGCUGGAUGCGUUUCCCGCCGGGCCCGUGAUGCCGCGGACCGCCCCGGACUCCGGAGACCGGAGGACGGCCCUGCGAGUCGGGUAGCAUGUCGAGUUUCUCUAGGGCGCCCCAGCAAUGGGCCACUUUUGCUCGAGUUUGGUAUCUCUUAGAUGGGAAAAUGCAGCCCCCUGGCAAACUUGCUGCUGUGGCAUCAAUUAAACUUCAAGGAUUGCAUAAACCUGUGUAUCAUCAACUGAGUGACUGUGGUGAUCAUGUUGUCAUAAUGAACACAAGGCACAUAGCAUUUUCUGGAAACAAAUGGGAACAAAAAGUAUACUCCUCACAUACUGGCUACCCAGGUGGAUUCACACAAGUAACAGCUGCACAACUUCACCAAAAGGAUCCAGUGGCAAUUGUAAAACUAGCUAUUUAUGGCAUGCUCCCAAAAAACCUUCACAGGAGGACCAUGAUGGAGAGGCUGCAUCUUUUCCCCGAUGAGGAUAUACCAGAAGAUAUUCUUAAGAAUUUAGUGGAAGAGCUUCCACAACCACGAAAAGUACCCAAACGUCUAGAUGAGUACACACAAGAAGAAAUAGAGGCUUUCCCAAGAUUGUGGACUCCACCUGAAGAUUACCGGCUAUAAAGAAAUGAAAAUCGCAGAAAAUCACAACGAGCCAAUCAAGGGGUGGAUUUCAGACCAUCUUUCCCAUUCAUUCAGCAAAGUGUAUUGAAUGCCUCCUACAUGCCAGGCACAGUGCUAGACAUUGGGAAAACAGAAAUUACACAUCUUCCCCCAACGCAUGCCCCAGCAAAGAGUGUACAGGCUACUGCAGAGUGGAAAGGAACUAUAGAGAUUGUAAAUAUGUGCACCUGGGUGUCAGAGUUGCUGAUGUGAUCAUGUGUGGCCUCUGAUGUAUGUUUCAGUAGCUGGCAUUAAACAUGAAGUGUUGCUAGAAACCACCUGCUGGCGUGCAGGGCACAACUGCUUUACAUAAAUUAAUUCACUUACACCAUACAUCAGCCCUAUAAUGUAUAUAGUGUUAUCCUCUCCUUAUCAAGGUCACAGAACUGAUUUAAAUCCGGGUUGAUUGGCUCCAAAACCCAUGGCCUUAGCCACUGAUAGAUGAGAAAAAGUGUAUUUAUAUUUACGUAUCACAAAUUCUGUAAUAACACAGGCAUAACUUGGUACAGGUCAACAGCUGCCAUUCACAGCGAAGUGGCAGUUAGAUUUAAACUCUCGGACCAAAAACAAAGGAAAUAAUAAAAAUAAAAACUGUCAGACCAAAAAGCUGCACCCCUACUUCACCCCUGACCUCUGACAUGGUCAUCUUAGUUGGGCGCCCAUAGGAAACAAGCCCCAAGCUCCUGGGGCAGCAGCUUUAAUCAGGAGGAAUUUUUGUCUCGUGCAUCCUAAGCAUCCUGCCUGAUACACAGUUCCUGGUUUAGAAACGCUCAUGGAAGAAAGUCCUCGUUUCCAACAAAACUGCAGGAUUUGAAGAGCCAGAUCUCGACACUGCUCCCCUGCCUGUGCCCCCAUCUUUUUUUCUAUGCUGCAGUCGACUGAUUUGUUUUCCUACCUUCUCCUGGAAAACGGGGUUCGUCCCACCCUCAGCCAAGAA